GAAUAUUGGACAAUGGGCGCAAGCCUGAUCCAGCCAUGCCGCGUGCAGGAUGACGGUCCUAUGGAUUGUAAACUGCUUUUAUACGAGAAGAAACACUCCUACGUGUAGGAGCUUGACGGUAUCGUAAGAAUAAGGAACGGCUAACUCCGUUCCAGCAGCCGCGGGAAUACGGAGGAUCCAAGCGUUAUCCGGAAUCAUUGGGUUUAAAGGGUCCGUAGGCGGUUUAGUAAGUCAGUGGUGAAAGCCCAUCGCUCAACGGUGGAACGGCCAUUGAUACUGCUAGACUUGAAUUAUUAGGAAGUAACUAGAAUAUGUAGUGUAGCGGUGAAAUGCUUAGAGAUUACAUGGAAUACCAAUUGCGAAGGCAGGUUACUACUAAUAUAUUGACGCUGAUGGACGAAAGCGUGGGUAGCGAACAGG
rnacentral:rRNA from 1 species